UACGUAGGCAGCAAGCGUUGUUCGGAAGUUACUGGGCGUAAAGGGUGUGUAGGCGGUUGCUUAAGUUUGGUGUGAAAUCGUCCCGGCUCAACUGGGAGGUGCGCCGAAUACUGAGUGACUCGAGUGCGGGAGAGGAAAGUGGAAUUCCGUGGUGUAGCGGUGAAAUGCGUAGAUAUCAGGAGGAACACCGGUGGUGUAGACGGCUUCUGGACCGUAACUGACGCUGAAACACGAAAGCGUGGGUAGCAAACAGG
rnacentral:rRNA from 1 species